AGGACCGGCCCGACACCUGC
rnacentral:misc_RNA from 1 species